UCCCUGGCACUGAAGAAGAUGUCCCCUCGGAACCACAUUCCUCUGGAUCUCUGCGGAGAUCAAAGACACCACAUAGAAAACGCUCCCGCAAAUCCAGCAUCGAUGGCGGGAGCGGAAAACGUCAGAAGAAGACGGAGCUGGGGUA